rnacentral:tRNA from 1 species
AUUCAUAUAGUUUAUAUAAAACAUAACGCUUUCAUUGUUAAAUAAGGAUUUUGCCUUAUGAAUA